GACGAACGCUGGCGGCGUGCUUAACACAUGCAAGUCGAACGGAAAGGCCUGCUUUCCCUUGUGGAUUGCGGGUACUCGAGUGGCGAACGGGUGAGUAACACGUGAGUGAUCUGCCCCCAACUUGGGUAUAAGCCUGGGAAACUGGGUCUAAUUCCCGAUAGGACUGCAGGGUGGUGCCUGUGGUGGAAAACGAUUUUCUAGUGGUUGUGGAUGAGCUCGCGGCCUAUCAGCUUGUUGGUGGGGUAAUGGCCUACCAAGGCGGCGACGGGUAGCCGGCCUGAGAGGGUGGACGGCCACAUUGGGACUGAGAUACGGCCCAGACUCCUACGGGAGGCAGCAGUGGGGAAUAUGGCACAAUGGGCGGAGGCCUGAUGCAGCGACGCCGCGUGGGGGAUGACGGCCUUCGGGUUGUAAACUCCUUUCGACCGCGAGGAAGCCACCUGGUUGGAAGGGUGGUGACGGUAGUGGUAGAAGAAGCACCGGCUAACUACGUG
rnacentral:rRNA from 1 species